GGAACAGCCAUAGAGAACUCUAAGGGUCCACCACCACCACCCCAGCAGCCGACCACGUCCUCUCUCCUUGUCCUUUGGGUACAGAGGAGGCGACAGCUGUAGUGGUAGUCGCGGUGGCUGUGGACCAGAUGGUUAGGAGCUAGGGCUUUGUUUUUUUUUUUGGUGAGGAAACAUCGGGGGAGACCGAGAUGUUAAGUGAAACACCA
rnacentral:lncRNA from 1 species